rnacentral:rRNA from 1 species
CCUACGGGAGGCAGCAGUAGGGAAUAUUGCUCAAUGGGGGAAACCCUGAAGCAGCAACGCCGCGUGGAGGAUGAAGGUUUUAGGAUUGUAAACUCCUUUUGGUAGAGAAGAGGAGGACGGUAUCGAACGAAUAAGCACCGGCUAACUCCGUGCCAGCAGCCGCGGUAAAACGGAGGGUGCAAGCGUUACGCGGAAUCACGGGGCGUAAAGAGUGCGUAGGCUGGGGAAGAAGUCAGAUGUGAAAUCCUGUCGCUUAACUACAGAACUGCAUUUGAAACUGUUACUCUGGAGUGUGGGAGCGGUAGGUGGCUUUCUUGGUGUAGCGGUCCACUCCGUAGAGAUCCCGAGGAAUACUCAUUGCGAAGGCGACCUGCUGGACCCUUCCUGCCGCUGAUGCACGAAAGCGUGGGGAGCAAACAGGAUUAGAUACCCGAGUAGUC